ACCGCCAACCCACAUGCAAGUGCCAGGACGGGGCGCCGCCGCUCCCCAUCGGCACAAGCACCGGGCAGGCCCCCACGGCCCCAUCAGUGUCGGGGCUUGGGCGGAGUGCCAUCGCUCCCCAUCUGAGCCGGGGCUGGGGCCGGGCGACGCCGCUUCCCAGCGCCGGCUGACGGAAGCUUGUCCCUUGCUCUCGGUGGAGGCGGCGCUCUAGCGCUCUCCCUCCACAAAAACGAGGCAGCUCCCACCACCAGCAGCAACACACCCCUCUCCAUCUCCACGAAAUCCCAGGUCCCGUCAGCCCCAACUCAACACCAUGAACUAGCAAAUCCCUCGCCUCUAAAUCCCACCACUACCAGAAUGUUCCCCUCUCCAAAUCCCAUCCCAAGAUUCUGCAAAUCGAAGAUCUGCAACCUCCUGGCACUGCUGAUGGACAAGGAGAAUGUUACGGAGAAGUAGAUAUGCAACCUCUUCACCUUCCUGAAUUAGAGCUCGAUCUUUUUGCUCUGCGUCUUCUUCGACGACAACAACGACCUGUUGCUGCUCUGUUUCUUCUACGACCUCUACUUCUGCUGCUCAUCUUCCUGCAUCAAACUCCAAGAUCCAGAUUUGCAUCUACCUCUUUACGUGAGAAGCUCUCCCUCUCCGCUUGAACUUGAAGACAGAUCAAGCUCAUGACACAAAGGCGAUGGAGAAGCAAGACAGAUAAAGCUCAUGACACAAAGGAGAUGGAGAAGCUCAACGUGACUUUUGCUCUCGUGACUUGUGGGCCUGAUGGUAUUAUGCCAUGGUGCAUUGCUUUUGAUGUUAGAUCAAAAAAUGUCUGAUGAUGAAUGAAAGCUUGAGAUAUUGUAUCUGAUUUGAUGUUUCACUGAAUUAUGAUAAAUGGGUUGAAAAACUGUGUAUUGGGCUGAAAUUCGUAUUAUGAUAAAUAGGUUGAAAAACCGUUUCAAA